rnacentral:rRNA from 1 species
GACAGAGGGUGCAAACGUUGUUCGGAAUUACUGGGCGUAAAGCGCGUGUAGGCGGCUAUGUAAGUCGGGCGUGAAAUCCCACGGCUCAACCGUGGAAGUGCACCCGAAACUGCGUAGCUAGAGUCCUGGAGAGGAAGGUGGAAUGCUUGGUGUAGAGGUGAAAUUCGUAGAUAUCAAGCGGAACACCGGUGGCGAAGGCGGCCUUCUGGACCGUACCUGACGCUGAGGCGCGAAGGCUAGGGGAGCGAACGGG